AUGUCAUAUCUAGUAUAAGCAAUUAUACCGCGAAACUGCGAAUGGCUCAUUAUAUAAGUUAUCGUUUAUUUGAUAAUACUUUACUACUUGGAUAACCGUGGUAAUUCUAGAGCUAAUACAUGCUAAAAAUCCCGACUUCGGAAGGGUUGUAUUUAUUAGAUUAAAAACCAAUGCCCCUCGGGGCUCUCUGGUGAAUCAUGAUAACUAGUCGAAUCGACAGGCCUUGUGCCGGCGAUGGCUCAUUCAAAUUUCUUCCCUAUCAACUUUCGAUGUUUGGGUAUUGGCCAAACAUGGUGGCAACGGGUAACGGAGGGUUAGGGCUCGACCCCGGAGAAGGAGCCUGAGAAACGGCUACUACAUCCAAGGAAGGCAGCAGGCGCGCAAAUUACCCAAUCCCGACACGGGGAGGUAGUGACAAUAAAUACUGAUACAGGGCUCUUUUGGGUCUUGUAAUCGGAAUGAGUACAAUUUAAAUCCCUUAACGAGGAACAAUUGGAGGGCAAGUCUGGUGCCAGCAGCCGCGGUAAUUCCAGCUCCAAUAGCGUAUAUUAAAGUUGUUGUGGUUAAAAAGCUCGUAGUUGAACCUUGGGCCUGGCUGGCCGGUCCGCCUCACCGCGUGCACUGGUCCGGCCGGGCCUUUCCCUCUGCGGAACCCCAUGCCCUUCACUGGGUGUGGCGGGGAAACAGGACUUUUACUUUGAAAAAAAUUAGAGUGCUCAAGGCAGG
rnacentral:rRNA from 1 species